UGAAUACGAGACGCUAAGGCGUCGAAGUAGUGUAUGUCAUACUACCAAGAAAAGCUUGCACUGUCAUAGAUAAAAAACGCCUGUACCAUAACCGACACAGGUGGGUAGGUAGAGUAUACUAAGGGGCGCGAGAUAACUCUCUCUAAGGAACUCGGCAAAAUAACUCCGUAACUACGGGAGAAGGAGUGCCUUAUUCGUAAGGUUGCAAUAACAAGAUCCAAGCAACUGUUUAUCAAAAACACAGGUCUCCGCUAAGUCGUAAGACGAUGUAUGGGGGCUGACGCCUGCCCAGUGCCAGAAGGUUAAAGAAGUUGGUUAGCAAUUGCGAAGCUGAUAACUGAAGCCCUGGUGAACGGCGGCCGUAACGAUAACGGUCCUAAGGUAGCGAAAUUCCUUGUCGGGUAAGUUCCGACCCGCACGAAAGGCGUAAUGAUUUGGAUACUGUCUCGGAGAGGGGCUCGGUGAAAUAGACUUGUCUGUGAAGAUGCGGACUACCUGCACCAGGACAGAAAGACCCUAUGAAGCUUUACUGUAACUUGAAAUUGAAAUUGGACUUUAUUCGCGCAGCAUAGGUGGGAGGCGUUGAUUAUAAUCUUGCGGGAUUAUUGGAGCCAUCAGUGAGAUACCACUCUUGUAAUGUUAGAUUUCUAACUUUGAAUCAUUAUCUGGUCAAAGAACAGUUUCAGGCGGGCAGUUUGACUGGGGCGGUCGCCUCCUAAACGGUAACGGAGGCGUACAAAGGUUUCCUCUGAACGGUUAGAAAUCGUAUCUAGAGUGUAAAGGCAUAAGGAAGCAUGACUGUGAGACCUACAAGUCGAGCGGGGACGAAAGUCGGUCUUAGUGAUCUGACGGUACUGAGUAGAAAGGCCGUCACUCAACGGAUAAAAGUUACUCUAGGAUAACAGGCUGAUCUCCCCCAAGAGUUCACAUCGACGGGGAGGUUUGGCACCUCGAUGUCGGCUCAUCGCAUCCUGGGGCGGUAGUACGUCCCAAGGGUUGGGCUGUUCGCCCAUGAAAGCGGUACGCGAGCUGGGUUCAGAACGUCGUGAGACAGUUCGGUCCAUAUCCGGUGUAGGCGUUAGAAUAUUGAGAGGAGCCUUCUUUAGUACGAGAGGACCGAGAAGGACAUACCUCUGGUGUACCAGUUAUCGUGCCAACGGUAAACGCUGGGUAGCUAUGUAUGGAGUGGAUAACCGCUGAAAGCAUCUAAGUGGGAAGCCCACCUCAAGAUAAG
rnacentral:rRNA from 1 species